UGGGGAAUAUUGGGCAAUGGGCGAAAGCCUGACCCAGCGACGCCGCGUGGGUGAUGAAGGCCUUCGGGUCGUAAAGCCCUGUCAGAAGGAAAGAACGAUCUUAUGGUGAAUACCCAUGAGAUGUGACGGUACCUUCGAAGGAAGCACCGGCCAAUUCCGUGCCAGCAGCCGCGGUAAGACGGAAGGUGCAAGCGUUGCUCGGAAUCACUGGGCGUAAAGGGUGCGUAGGCGGCUUCUUAAGUCUGGUGUGAAAGCCCAGGGCUCAGCUCUGGAAGUGCACUAGAUACUGGGAAGCUUGAGUAUCGGAGGGGAGAGUGGAAUUCCUGGUGUAGCGGUGAAAUGCGUAGAUAUCAGGAGGAAUACCGGUGGCGAAAGCGACUCUCUGGUCCAGUACUGACACUCAAGUGCGAAAGCGUGGGGAGCAAACAGGAUUAGAUACCCACGUAGUCCCUGAGCGGGCUGGCAAGGCGCAU
rnacentral:rRNA from 1 species